CAAUGCAAACACUGUGGCAAAGAGAUGUCUGGCUUGCAACAUCUGAAAUGUCACUUGGGUGGUGUAGGUUCAGAUGUGAACAUUGUCACAUCUACUGUUAGAGAUGUUGCAAGCCAGACAUUUCCUUUCCCACAGUGUUCACAGUC